AGAGUUUGAUCCUGGCUCAGAUUGAACGCUGGCGGCAGGCCUAACACAUGCAAGUCGAACGGUAACAGGAAGCAGCUUGCUGCUUUGCUGACGAGUGGCGGACGGGUGAGUAAUGUCUGGGAAACUGCCUGAUGGAGGGGGAUAACUACUGGAAACGGUGGCUAAUACCGCAUAACGUCGCAAGACCAAAGAGGGGGACCUUCGGGCCUCUUGCCAUCAGAUGUGCCCAGAUGGGAUUAGCUUGUUGGUGAGGUAACGGCUCACCAAGGCGACGAUCCCUAGCUGGUCUGAGAGGAUGACCAGCCACACUGGAACUGAGACACGGUCCAGACUCCUACGGGAGGCAGCAGUGGGGAAUAUUGCACAAUGGGCGCAAGCCUGAUGCAGCCAUGCCGCGUGUAUGAAGAAGGCCUUCGGGUUGUAAAGUACUUUCAGCGGGGAGGAAGGUGUUGCGGUUAAUAACCGCAGCAAUUGACGUUACCCGCAGAAGAAGCACCGGCUAACUCCGUGCCAGCAGCCGCGGUAAUACGGAGGGUGCAAGCGUUAAUCGGAAUUACUGGGCGUAAAGCGCACGCAGGCGGUCUGUCAAGUCGGAUGUGAAAUCCCCGGGCUCAACCUGGGAACUGCAUUCGAAACUGGCAGGCUUGAGUCUUGUAGAGGGGGGUAGAAUUCCAGGUGUAGCGGUGAAAUGCGUAGAGAUCUGGAGGAAUACCGGUGGCGAAGGCGGCCCCCUGGACAAAGACUGACGCUCAGGUGCGAAAGCGUGGGGAGCAAACAGGAUUAGAUACCCUGGUAGUCCACGCCGUAAACGAUGUCUACUUGGAGGUUGUGCCCUUGAGGCGUGGCUUCCGGAGCUAACGCGUUAAGUAGACCGCCUGGGGAGUACGGCCGCAAGGUUAAAACUCAAAUGAAUUGACGGGGGCCCGCACAAGCGGUGGAGCAUGUGGUUUAAUUCGAUGCAACGCGAAGAACCUUACCUGGUCUUGACAUCCACAGAACUUUCCAGAGAUGGAUUGGUGCCUUCGGGAACUGUGAGACAGGUGCUGCAUGGCUGUCGUCAGCUCGUGUUGUGAAAUGUUGGGUUAAGUCCCGCAACGAGCGCAACCCUUAUCCUUUGUUGCCAGCGAUUAGGUCGGGAACUCAAAGGAGACUGCCAGUGAUAAACUGGAGGAAGGUGGGGAUGACGUCAAGUCAUCAUGGCCCUUACGACCAGGGCUACACACGUGCUACAAUGGCGCAUACAAAGAGAAGCGACCUCGCGAGAGCAAGCGGACCUCAUAAAGUGCGUCGUAGUCCGGAUUGGAGUCUGCAACUCGACUCCAUGAAGUCGGAAUCGCUAGUAAUCGUGGAUCAGAAUGCCACGGUGAAUACGUUCCCGGGCCUUGUACACACCGCCCGUCACACCAUGGGAGUGGGUUGCAAAAGAAGUAGGUAGCUUAACCUUCGGGAGGGCGCUUACCACUUUGUGAUUCAUGACUGGGGUGAAGUCGUAACAAGGUAGCC
rnacentral:rRNA from 1 species